CCCCGACCGCCAGCAGCCACUGGACCCCCAGGGAGAAAGAGACCCCCCCCCAGCAUUCCCAAAGGUAAGGAGGCUGGGUUAAAUAAAAAAAAAUGUGUUAAUGUGAGUGUGUGUGUAUGUCUGUUAGCGUGUGUCUGUUAGUGCGUGUGUCUGUUAGUGUGUUUGCCUGUUAGUGUGUGUGUGUUAGUGAGUGUGUGUCUGACUGUGUGAGUGUCUGUUAGUGAGUGUGUGUCUGUUAGUGUGUGUGUGAGUGUUUUUCUGU